GUGGGGAAUCUUCCGCAAUGGACGAAAGUCUGACGGAGCAACGCCGCGUGAGUGAUGAAGGUCUUCGGAUUGUAAAGCUCUGUUAAUCGGGACGAAAGAGCCUAGUGUGAAUAAUGCUAGGAAGUGACGGUACCGGAAUAGAAAGCCACGGCUAACUACGUGCCAGCAGCCGCGGUAAUACGUAGGUGGCAAGCGUUGUCCGGAAUUAUUGGGCGUAAAGCGCGCGCAGGCGGAUCUGCCAGUCUGUCUUAAAAGUUCGGGGCUUAACCCCGUGAUGGGAUGGAAACUACAGAUCGAGAGUAUCGGAGAGGAAAGUGGAAUUCCUAGUGUAGCGGUGAAAUGCGUAGAUAUUAGGAAGAACACCAGUGGCGAAGGCGACUUUCUGGACGAAAACUGACGCUGAGGCGCGAAAGCCAGGGGAGCGAACGGGAUUAGAAACCCGAGUAGUCC
rnacentral:rRNA from 1 species